rnacentral:lncRNA from 1 species
UGCACCCAAUUAUAAUUGUUGCACCAUAGGGGCUUUUGAGUAUGGCGCACACAUAUAUUUAAGUAAUUUUGAAAAAAUAUAAUAUUAUUAUAUAUGAUUUAGGAAGAGGAGCAUGAGUUCACGUGAACCCACAUCUCUUAACCUAGAUACACCUUUGGUUUGAGUUUGAGAAAGGUUUUUGGUAGACAUUGCUUCCAAUGAAAUGGAAUACGGGGAACUCUCCGUCUAAGUGGUUAAUCCGACGAGUCAAUUCUCAAUGCGAUGCAUCCGUGAAAUGGGACGGAGAUCUGCCCGAACUUAGUCCAGUCCUAUUAAAGAUGGGGGCGAAUCAAGCAACUCUUAUAGAUAGAUGGGAUAGGAAGAACUGAGACCACUCGACCGAUCUCAUCCACUUGAAAAUUGGUGUAAAAGUUGCUAAUUCGACUUUCUAAUAGACUUGUUAGUUCCGCAGCUCGGGGAGAAAGUUCCAUAAUUCAAUUCAAGAUAGAUAGAAGGGAGAAUGCCGCUGACAAAGAUGAGCUCUACCAGUCUCUCCUUCUUUAAUGGACCUUAUGUGGCGCGAACUCGAUUAGUCAGAAUUUCAAUACGGCACCGGACACCGGGUGAGGGAAAGAAAGCUAUUGCACUAUGCAAAUUUUUAUUGUAUGAAAAUUCAAUCAACAAACAAAAGAACUAGGACUAGGCCCCGUUUGGCCAUAAGUUUCGUCAAAAUAAAUUUGAGAUUUAUUUUCAAAACUCUGUUUGGCCAUAAAUUUUGCUCAUAUUUUGGCCAAAUCCUAAAUCGUAAAUUUCAAAUUCCAAAUCAGCUAUUGAACGGAAUUUGGGCCAAAAUCCCAAAACUUGGUAAUUAUAUACUCCCUCCGUUUCAUAUUGUUUGAGAUAGUUUGACGCGGCACGGAGUUUAAGCAAAGAGAAGAAACUUUUAAAACUUGUAGUCUUAAACGAUUAAGGGGUAAAAGAUUUGUGGGGCCAUACCAUUUGUGUGGCUAUAAAAGCUUUUCACUAAGGACAAAAAUGGUAAAAUGAAGAGUUCAAAGUUUAAUUAUUUCCAAAUUUAGAAAUGUGUCAUUUAU